UUCAGCGCACCUUUGGGGAGCAGGCAAAGGGAGAGGUCAGGGGCAAGGGAAAGGCUUGACCUUCCUGCCUGGUGUCUGAGGGGACGGGGUCAGGCUCAGAGCUCCAGGGGGAGGAGAGGCAGAAGGCAGGAGGCAGGAGGCAGGAGGGAGCGGCCGGGAGCCCUGCCAGCAGGGUUACAAGCAAGGGUUUUAUCGAACACAAUAUGCCCAGGCAUAAAAGGCGGUGAAACCCAACCCAGCUGCCGAUAAGGCCGCAGCGGUGGCAGCCCCAGGCAGCCAUAUGGAAUUACUGCAGUAACCUUGAGCCAGGCCCUGCUGGGCACAGGGAAGGACACUGAGCAGCCAGGGCCCAGGAGGCCCAUUCGGAGCUGGGGAGAAGGCAGAGGCAGGAGGGUGCGGCAGGCAGAGUAGUGACAGCUGGGGCGGGAGGGGCAGGGGGUCCCAAGGAGAACUUUGGGGGUCCUGGGGAGGCAACGCUUCUCAGGUCCUGGAGGACAAGGGUGGGGGAAGAUUCCCGAAAGUCAGCACUGAGGAAGCCGAUGGCACCCACCCUGGUGGGGACUUUGAGAGGGACGGAAAGAGCCCAGAUCUGUCUGGACAUGUGCACAAGUUUGCCAAAACCUCUGUGUGGCGCCCCUUCCUAUCCAGUCCCCAACAGGCCCCAGUGCCUGGAGACCACAAGCGACCUGCCAUUCUGAGUGGGUCCCCAACUUGGGAGCCUGAGCCUACUCCAUGAGGGAGUGCAGCUGCCUGAGGUGCCAUUCUUCCCAGGUGGCACUGAGUUGCCACCCCAGCCCACUUCACGUUCCUCUGUGGCUGUGCGAAGGAGGGGAGGGGGUCGCUUGGUCCGAGGCAGCUAGACAUGCAGCUGUUCCUCAACAUCCUUCAUGGGGCUGAGCUCAUCAGCCAACACCAUCAGGUUCAUCACCAGGGUGUCCAGCAACCUGUAGACCUGGAGGAAUGAGACAGAUGUCGCAGGCAAAGGUUUGCUCAGCAGAAGGCACCUGCAUGUCAACCUGCACUGCCUCACAAAAACACCAAAGGUGGACACCUGUAAUCCCACAACUUGGGAGGCUGAGGCAGGAGGAUUGCUGUGAGUUUGAGGCCAGCCUGGGCUACAUAGUGAGUUCAAGGCCAGACUGAACUAUAUAGUAAGAUCCUAUUCUCAAUACAAAACAAGG